rnacentral:rRNA from 1 species
UGGGGAAUCUUCCGCAAUGGACGAAAGUCUGACGGAGCAACGCCGCGUGAGUGAUGACGGUCUUCGGAUUGUAAAGCUCUGUUAAUCGGGACGAAUGGUUUGUGUGCAAAUAGUGCAUAGACAUGACGGUACCGGACUAGAAAGCCACGGCUAACUACGUGCCAGCAGCCGCGGUAAUACGUAGGUGGCAAGCGUUGUCCGGAAUUAUUGGGCGUAAAGCGCGCGCAGGCGGACUAGCCAGUCAGUCUUAAAAGUUCGGGGCUUAACCCCGUGAUGGGAUUGAAACUACUAGUCUAGAGUAUCGGAGAGGAAAGUGGAAUUCCUAGUGUAGCGGUGAAAUGCGUAGAUAUUAGGAAGAACACCAGUGGCGAAGGCGACUUUCUGGACGAACACUGACGCUGAGGCGCGAAAGCCAGGGGAGCGAACGGG